CUUCCCACAAGAUCCACCGGUUCCGUCACGGCCCACAGCCCAGGGAUGUGAGCACCAGAGGGUCCACUAGGGCCUCCGAGAGAGACGCUCUUCCGAGGUGACCACUGGGGACUCGACUUAUGGAAGCGCUGGCCCGUGCACACAUCACUGCGUCACCGUCCUCCAGGGCCGCAGUGACAGCGCCAUCGUCUGUGGAGUCUCACCCUGCGGCCGGCCCCAGCAAAGCACCUUGUCCCAAUGCCCAAGGGACCA